rnacentral:lncRNA from 1 species
AGGGCUUCCGCCUCCCGUCGCUCCUCCCCACCGUGAGGCGAACCUCAGCCGGUUUCCCAGCCCCGCCGAGGCCCGCUGGGGCGAAGCGGAGCCCCGGGGGGCCCUGAGGAAACCGGCGCGGGUUCGUUUAAUUACGCCCUUCUCGCCAGACCUCUGGCUGGCCCUGAGCUGCUCAGAAGCCCAUCUGCGCGGCAUGCCCGUGCGAUCUGAGACAACUGGCAGCUGUCUUCCUUUGCAAAACGAGACUGUUAAUAAAACCUACCCCAGGGUAGGACGGACUGUUCGAUGAAUGGAUAAGCAACCUGGAGCAUAUCCAUACAAUGGAAUACUACUGAGCAAGAUGAAAGAACAAACUGCUGAUACACACAGCAACACAUCUGACUCUCAAGUGAAGAAAGCCCCUUUCAAGAGGCUGCAUAUAAUAGACUCCAUUCAUAUGACAUCCAGAAAAGGCAAAACUAUAGGUCGGGCACAGUGGCUCACGCCUGUAAUCCCAGCACUUUGGGAGGCCGAGGUGGGCAGAUCACGAGGCCAGGAGUUCAAGACCAGCCUGGCCAACAUGGUGAAAACCCAUCUCUAUGAAAAAUACAAAAAUUAGCUGGGCGUGGUGGUGGGCACCUAUAAUCCCAGCUACUCGGGAGGCUGAGGCAGGAGAAUCAAUUGAACCAGGGAGGCAGGGGUUGCAAUGAGCUGAGAUGACACCAUUGCACUCCAGCCUGGGCAACAGGGCAAGGAUCCAUCUCAAAAAAAAAAAAAGGCAAAACUGUAGAGAGAAAAAAUGAUCAGUUCUUGCCAGGGGGCUCAAGAUGGGAUGAGGUAUUUACUACGAAAGCGCAUGAGAGAAUUUUGAGGGGAGAGAAAGGUGAUAGAUUUGUUCUAUGUUUUGAUUAUAGUGGUGAUUAAAUAACUCUGUAUUUGCCA